rnacentral:rRNA from 1 species
GGAGGGCGCGAGCGUUGUUCGGAAUUACUGGGCGUAAAGCGCACGCAGGCGGUCUCUUAAGUCCACUGUUAAAUCACGGGGCUCAACCCCGGCGGUGCAGUGGAUACUGAGGGACUGGAGACCGGUAGAGGCUAGCGGAAUUCCUGGUGUAGCGGUGGAAUGCGUAGAUAUCAGGAGGAACACCGGUGGCGAAGGCGGCUAGCUGGGCCGGUUCUGACGCUCAUGUGCGAAAGCGUGGGGAGCAAACAGGAUUAGAUACCCUGGUAGUCCACGCCGUAAACGAUGGGCACUAGAUGCCGGGCCCUUCGACGGGUUCGGUGUCGUAGCUAACGCAUUAAGUGCCCCGCCUGGGGAGUACGGCCGCAAGGCUG